UUUCAUUCUAAUUUGAGCAGUCAACUCUUGCAGCUAUGUACGGAUGCAGCGAUGAUUGAUGAUAUCGUCAAAUGAAAAAGUAUGGGGUAUCUCUCUGAUAUCUAACCCUUUUGGCGGAAUCUAAGUAGGAGUUGGUUACAAGCUUAGACAAGGACAAAGAGAAAGACCAGCUGGAGGUAGAAUCUUAAUUCACAUCCUUUUGAGAAGCAAACUCUUUCAACUCUUUUUUUUUGCAGUUAUGACACGAGACAUAUGACACAGUUUGGGUUGUGUUGAAUAGUAGAAUGAAUGGGGAUAAAGAAGAUUGAUGACACAAGUCUGGAGCUAGGAGCAUGCCAAGAGAAGAGUGAUGAGGGGUGAAGCAAAGUGAUGAAUGGGAAGUGGGAACAGUACUAGGUGAUGCAAGUGUGCCAUUUCUUCUGAUGAUUUCUUCUUCUGGUAGGCCUGAAAGUGAAAUGAAAGCCCUUAGCUUAUUAAAUGAGAGUUGGGACUGCCGAGGGGGGUGGGUUGGUUCCAGGGCUUUAAAUUUUGCUAGCUAUCUUCAUAAAUGCUGACUAAAAGUAAUAUUAGUACUGGGAAGGAAAUGCACAGAGUUAUGGAAGAGAGGUGCGGUGGUCUGUCUGUCUGUCUGUCCGUCUGUCUGUCUCGUACCAAAGGAAGAACAUGCUGUGGUAAAUUAAUUAUGUUAUAAUUAAUCGCACCACUUAUCCUUUCAUUCAUCUACUCUUUAUUAUUUUAAUUAAAUAAUAAUUAUGUUAUUACGUUCUGCAAA
rnacentral:lncRNA from 1 species